rnacentral:rRNA from 1 species
GACGAACGCUGGCGGCGUGCUUAACACAUGCAAGUCGAACGGAAAGGCCCUGCUUUUGUGGGGUGCUCGAGUGGCGAACGGGUGAGUAACACGUGAGUAACCUGCCCUUGACUUUGGGAUAACUUCAGGAAACUGGGGCUAAUACCGGAUAGGAGCUCCUGCUGCUUGGUGGGGGUUGGAAAGUUUCGGCGGUUGGGGAUGGACUCGCGGCUUAUCAGCUUGUUGGUGGGGUAGUGGCUUACCAAGGCUUUGACGGGUAGCCGGCCUGAGAGGGUGACCGGCCACAUUGGGACUGAGAUACGGCCCAGAAUGCUACGGGAGGAAGCAGGGGGGAAUAUUGCACAAUGGGCGGAAGCCUGAUGCAGAAACGCCGCGUGCGGGAUGACGGCCUUCGGGUUGUAAACCGAUUUCGACUGUGACGAAGCGUGAGUGACGGUAAUGGGUAAAGAAGCACCGGCUAACUACGUG